rfam:Oryza rufipogon genomic scaffold, chr01
AAAAAGGGUCGGUUGGCUAUGUGUGCCACAUCCAUCAAUCCAUGGGUGUUGUAUGGCUAUCAAGACAUAUGGCCGGCAUAAUUUGUGGAAAUAGAUAGGGUUGGCUCGCUAAGGCCGACCCUCCA